rnacentral:tRNA from 1 species
CGGGACGUAGCGCAGUUUGGCUAGCGCACCUGCUUUGGGAGCAGGGGGUCGCCGGUUCGAAUCCGGCCGUCCCGA